rnacentral:rRNA from 1 species
CUGUCCAACGUUAAUCGGGGCAGGGUGAGUCGGCCCCUAAGGCGAGGCUGAGAAGCGUAGUCGAUGGGAAAUGGGUUAAUAUUCCCAUACUUGGAUAAACUGCGAUGUGGGGACGGAGCAGGUUAGGUUAGCGUACGGAUGGAAGAGUACGUUUAAGUUGGUAGGUGGGGUGUUUAGGCAAAUCCGGGCACCUGAUAACACUGAGAGAUGAUGACGAAGCUCUACGGAGCUGAAGUAACUGAUACCCAACUUCCAGGAAAAGCCACUAAGCGAGAGGUUUAUCUAAACCGUACUGGAAACCGACACAGGUGGUCAGGUAGAGAAUACUAAGGCGCUUGAGAGAACUCGGGUGAAGGAACUAGGCAAAAUAGCACCGUAACUUCGGGAGAAGGUGCGCUGGCGUAGUGUGAAGUUCUUCGCGAAUGGAGCAUGAACCAGUCGAAGCGACGAGCUGGCUGCAACUGUUUAAUAAAAACACAGCACUCUGCAAACACGAAAGUGGACGUAUAGGGUGUGAUGCCUGCCCGGUGCUGGAAGGUUAAUUGAUGGUGUYAUCGAAAGAGAAGCACCUGAUCGAAGCCCCAGUAAACGGCGGCCGUAACUAUAACGGUCCUAAGGUAGCGAAAUUCCUUGUCGGGUAAGUUCCGACCUGCACGAAUGGCAUAAUGAUGGCCAGGCUGUCUCCACCCGAGACUCAGUGAAAUUGAAAUCGCCGUGAAGAUGCGGUGUACCCGCGGCUAGACGGAAAGACCCCGUGAACCUUUACUAUAGCUUGACACUGAACCUUGAAUUUUAAUGUGUAGGAUAGGUGGGAGACUAAGAAGCGGUAACGCCAGUUAUCGUGGAGUCGGUGUUGAAAUACCACCCUUUAACGUUUGAUGUUCUAACGAGGCGCCUGGAACGGGUGUUCGGACAGUGUCUGGUGGGUAGUUUGACUGGGGCGGUCUCCUCCCAAAGCGUAACGGAGGAGCACGAAGGUUGGCUAAUGACGGUCGGACAUCGUCAGGUUAGUGCAAUGGUAGAAGCCAGCUUAACUGCGAGACGGACAAGUCGAGCAGGUACGAAAGUAGGUCAUAGUGAUCCGGUGGUUCUGAAUGGAAGGGCCAUCGCUCAACGGAUAAAAGGUACUCCGGGGAUAACAGGCUGAUACCGCCCAAGAGUUCAUAUCGACGGCGGUGUUUGGCACCUCGAUGUCGGCUCAUCACAUCCUGGGGCUGAAGUAGGUCCCAAGGGUAUGGCUGUUCGCCAUUUAAAGUGGUACGCGAGCUGGGUUUAGAACGUCGUGAGACAGUUCGGUCCCUAUCUGCCGUGGGCGUUGGAGGAUUGAGGGGGGUUGCUCCUAGUACGAGAGGACCGGAGUGAACGCACCGCUGGUGUUCCAGUUGUUUCGCCAGAAGCAUUGCUGGGUAGCUAAGUGCGGAAGAGAUAAGUGCUGAAAGCAUCUAAGCACGAAACUUGCCCCGAGAUGAGUUCUCCCUGACAGAGAGUCAGUAAGGGUUGUUGAAGACGACGACGUAGAUAGGUGGGGUGUGUAAGCGGUGUGAGCCGUUGAGCUAACCCAUACUAAUUGCCCGAGAGGCUUAACUAUACAACGCUGAAGGGUUUU